rnacentral:lncRNA from 1 species
GGGAGAGCCGGGCGCAGAGACCGAGGCACAGUCGCGCGGCGCGGCGUUCCGCGUGACCCUGCGGUUAAAACCCGCGCGCUGCAGCAUCGCGGAAAACGGGAUUCGCCUCAUUUGAAACUUGAGGAAAAUCUCUAAACACUUUCAUUUUGAUAGAAACCAUUUCCGCCGCUGACGUGCGUCUACGCCCAUCAUUUCAGCUGACACGUUGCUGUAACGUCUCCUCCGUUUCAUGCUCUUUCGAACCCUGUCAGCUGCGGGAAGGAACUUCUAAACUAAAAGCUGGCAAGACUCAGCAGAAAAAAAAUAUCGAAAGCUGCUUCUGCUGCCCCAGCUUCACUCAGGCCCUGGCUGCUCCUUCACUGGUCUACACUGCUGCCUCCUGGAACCACCCACUCUGCAACCAGGUCUGAUGCCCGGUGUGGACAUUCAGGGAUGAGGUCCCCUGGGGCUAAAUGAAUGAACAGAUUCUGAAAAGCAGAAGCUACGUCCGGGGGUCUCUGGGCCACAAAUCACUUUCUGACCUGCAGCCGUGAGGCGUGAGGCUCACUCGGAAGCUCCCGGAACCUGGAGACUGCCCUCACUCAACACUUGAACAAGCAAGGGGCCAGGUUCAAUGAAACACCUGCCCGCCCGGCACACCAGGCUCAAAAGCAAGCAAGCAAGCAAACAAACAAACAAAAUCAAAUCAGGCCUUCACAACUCCCCAAAUCAUGUGUGAGUUUCUACAGAGCAGAAGCCAAAAAUAUAUGUUAUCUAACUAGGUCCUAUUUACAUAUAUUUUUAUGGCUGCUCUAAAAAAUUAUCACAAACAUAGCGGCUUCACCCCGUUUCCCCUGUUGUGAUUAUUACACAUUGGAUGCCUGUAUCAAAAUAUCUCAUGGACCCCAUAAAUAGCAACACCCUGUAUGUACUCAUGACAAUUUUUUAAAAAAGAACACUUACACUUUCCAUUUC